AUGUGACACUUUUCAAAUUUCGAGAUUCAAACAAGUCUAUCUUUGACCGUAAAUUUUUCAUAGAUCUUUUAAACAUUUUGAAUUAUCAAUUAUUGUAACUUAUAGUACUUUUUACGUAGUUUACAAAUAUAUAAAUUUUAUUUCGAAAAAAUGAAUAUUCCAUGAGCAAAUUUUUGGUCAAACUUAAACUGUUUGACUCUCGAAAAACGAAGAGUGCCACAUAA
rnacentral:pre_miRNA from 1 species